ensembl:lncRNA
CCGUUGGCCGCAAAGUACACGGACCCUAAACACAUAUCAGGAGGGGGCCUACACACCUCUUUGUAGAAAACUGUUUGUUUCAAGAAACCUGGACCCACGAUGGGCCUAAAACGUGCUGGCUGGACAUUGGCCUGCAGUAUGAUUAACACAAACCUGAGAGAGAAAGAGAAAGGGUGUACCUAAGAGAACAGAACCUGGGCAGCUUUGGCACAAUGCAGGCUGACCUAUUACCAAUCAGGCCAAAUUCAACAAACAAAUUCAAGGCCAUUUGAAGCGUGUUUUCUGAGACAAGACUAUUCUUGUAUUUUGUCUUUGUUGUUGUAAGCUGGGAAUGGAAUGGAAGGCCAUAAUUAUUUCCACUGCCAUGUCACUAAGAUAUAGAGAAUGCUGUGAUGCAAUACUGUGAAGUUGAGCGUUCAGCAGAGAUAACCACGUGGUGGAUUUCUGAUGUCCGAGGCAAGGAUGGAAGUUUUGCACAAGGUCGGAAGAAGCACAGUUCGUCCCUUCUUAUCACUUCAGGUCUAAACAUGCUCUUGUACAUAUGCAGACUAAGUGGCACCUAAAAUUCUAAGUUACACACACGCAGAAACACAGAAAAGCCAUGUUCCUGCUUACAUAAGUACAUGAUUCAUUUAAGGUAAUUAAUAAUACAAGGCACUUGAUUAUUAUAUUCUUAAGUCAUUAACAGUGUUUGGAAAUGAUCUCCAUCACUAAGAUAUAGAGAAUGCUGUGAUGCAGUGCUGUGAUGGCUGCUGCCUGAGACACAAGUCGGCGGUACAGGCAGCUGGAAAACAAUGAAAUAGGCACAGUGAAAUUGAACUUUUACUUACAUAGAAUAUUGUUUACUUGUAUACAGCAGAAUGCAUGUAGCCUAUUAUUUUUGAUCUUACCUUUGCUCCGGUUUGUAACCCUUGCAUCUUUUUACGUAGCUGUGAAGACGACAUGUAAGAAGAGGUGAAGAAUGUUGCGAAAGGUGACGGGUUUUUGAUGCAUUAUUCAUGACUAUGGGAUGCACUAAAGAGGAAUGUCUUGAGUCUCGAUUUGAAUAUGGAAAGGGUGUCUGCAUCUCGGAUGGAGAUCCAUCUCGGAUUAUUCCACUGGAGGGGGGCUCGAUAGCUAAAGGCUAUGCCUCCUAUUGUGCUUUUUGAUAUUCUUGGAAUUACAAGGAAACCUGCACUCUGGGAAUGAAGUGAUACUGGUGAUCAAUAGAGGACAACUCAUUCCUAGAGGUCAUUUGGAGCUAAAAUAGAGCUUUAUAUGUUAGAAGGAGUACUUUGAAAUCAAUUCUACUUUUGAUCGGGACCCAAUGCAGAGAGGCAAGAACAGUCAUCUUUGCAGCAGUGGACCGAGCCAACUGAUAAGCCUUAUGAAGUUCUUGUUCAUUCUUGACACAUAUUUGGUGUAUGACGCUGUCGAUGACUCCCAUCUGCAGACACACCAAAACAGACCAUCUACAGUUCAGUGCCAGAUGACCUCAGGGAUCUCAAAGUGUCAAACGCUGCACUCAGAUCCAGAAGAGGCAAGGACGGAGAGCUUUUUAGAGUCAGCAUUAAUUCUAAGCAGGCGAGGAAGCUUGGUGGAAGUCCGUGGUGGAUGUCACGGUCCCUGGCACCAGGGAUGCAGUGAACCUUGGAAGGAGCGCUCGGUGAAGAGGGGGAUCUAGAUGUCUCUGACCAUGGAGCUGCGAUGACGUAGGUGGAGGUUGUUGAGUCAGGCGGGAGAAGGCGUUGAGGGGCGCUGACUGUGUGGAGGGACCAGGAUGAGAGGCACGGGUACUGUACGUGGACGAUGCUGGAUCCGGUGUUGCGUUGGAGCAGGUCCGUAGGGGGGUCGCAGCGAGGGCACGGGUGGCAGAGAAGGGAUGUCAUCUAGAGGUAGCGGAUGUUUUACAUUUCUUUUUUCUCUUGUUCAUUGAAUUGUUAAUGACAUCAAACAUACAGUGGCAUAAAAAUGGAGAAAUCUCGAUUUGCACAACUACCAGGGUACUACCAAUUACAAUUUAUGGUUAGAAAUUUACAAAAAACUGAGCUUGCCUCGUGUUACAAAACAUGAAACAGCUAUAGGCUAUGGAAAUGGAGUGAUUAUAAUAGUGAUUUACCGUGAAGGAUUGCGUGUUGCGGCCGUCACCAGCCAAUUGGGCACUGUUGUGCACCCUGCCACCCUUACUGAUAGGUGAAAAUUCACCCUAGUUACCUCAGGACUCCGGAGUUGCAUAAAAGUAUAUUUAUUAGACAAACAACAAUUGCAAUCGGGCUCACUCCCAGCACAAGGCUGAAAGUGAAGCAAUCAUAAACACAUCGCACAAGGUUUAUAUAGACAGAAGUUUUGCGUUCAGCAGGGGAAACCACGUGGUGGAUUUCUCACGUCCGAGGCAAGGAUGGAAGUUUUGCAAGGUCGGAAGAAGCACAGUUCGAACCUUCUUAUCACCUCUGGUCUAAACAUGCUCUUGUACAUAUGUAGACUAAGUGGCACCUAAUAUUCUAAGUUACACAAAAGCCAUGUUUCUGCUUUCAUAGGCACAUGAUUCAUACAUUCUUAAGUAAUUAACAGUGUUUGCAAAUUAUCUCCAUCACUUACAAAGCUUAUAACUAAAAUCUCCACAUGUACCAAACCGAACUAAAUGCUAAAUAAUAUUCCCAUACACCUAGCCAGGCAGCCUCUCUCUCUCCCUCUCCUUUUAUAUCACAUUGCUAAUGCCUAUAAUAAUACUGAUAAAAUGGCCAUAUUGCCUGUUAAUUGACUACCUCAAAGUAUCUCAUCUGUUUCCCAAAUUGAUGUCUACUAACAAAAAUGUUCUCUCUCCCUUAUAG